AGUUUGAUCCUGGCUCAGGAUGAACGCUGGCGGCGUGCUUAACACAUGCAAGUCGAACGGAGACAAACGCCGAUUGAAGCUUCGGCAGAAAUCAUGUUUGUCUUAGUGGCGGACGGGUGAGUAACGCGUGGGUAACCUGCCUUAUACCGGGGGAUAACACUUAGAAAUAGGUGCUAAUACCGCAUAAGCGCACAGCUUCGCAUGAAGCAGUGUGAAAAACUCCGGUGGUAUAAGAUGGACCCGCGUCUGAUUAGCCAGUUGGUGAGGUAACGGCUCACCAAAGCAACGAUCAGUAGCCGGCCUGAGAGGGUGAACGGCCACAUUGGGACUGAGACACGGCCCAAACUCCUACGGGAGGCAGCAGUGGGGAAUAUUGGACAAUGGGGGAAACCCUGAUCCAGCGACGCCGCGUGAGUGAAGAAGUAUUUCGGUAUGUAAAGCUCUAUCAGCAGGGAAGAUAAUGACGGUACCUGACUAAGAAGCCCCGGCUAACUACGUGCC
rnacentral:rRNA from 1 species